rnacentral:rRNA from 1 species
AUACCGGUCGGCGACGCUACUGCUUUGGGUACUUUCAGGACCCGUCUUGAAACACGGACCAAGGAGUCUAACAUGUGCGCGAGUCAUUGGGUUAUCGUUAAAAUUGAACAAGCCUAAAGGCGCAAUGAAAGUGAAGGUCGGCCUCAGCGUCGAUCGAGGGAGGAUGGCCCGGGUUCGCUCGGGUCCGCACUCCCGGGGCGUCUCACGGUCGUCUCGACCAGAGGCGCACCCAGAGCGUACACGUUGGGACCCGAAAGAUGGUGAACUAUGCCUGGUCAGGACGAAGUCAGGGGAAACCCUGAUGGAGGUCCGUAGCGAUUCUGA